AGAGAAACUCUUUUCUGCACAAAAAGAGGAUGAAACUCUCACCACCGCUUUUAACUCAGUUAUCUCUUCUGAUCUGGCUAAGGGUAAGCAGAAUGCUUAUUUUAUUGACAAUGGCUUGUUGCUUCGAAAAUGGUGUGCAUCACCAAAGCAAGAUUCUGAUUGGGAUGUUUCUUAUCAGAUUGUGGUUCCUGUACUAUAUCGACCACAUGUGCUAUGUUUAGCGCAUGAUUAUCCACUUUCAGGACAUCUUGGAGUUAGGAAAACUUAUAGUCGGAUCUUAAAGCAUUUUUUUUUGGCCAGGACUGAAAAAGGAUGUCGUUUUCUAUUGUCUUUCUUGUCACACAUGUCAAGUUGUGGGAAAACCAAACCAGGUUAUUCCACCUGUUCCACUGAAACCAAUCCCUGUGCUAGGAGAUCUGUUUGAACACGUAUUAGUAGACUUUGUUGGCCCUUUGCCAAAAACGAAAAGUGGUAAUCAAUUUUUACUUACUGUGAUGUGCUUAUCUACUAGGUUUCCAGAGGCGAUUCCUCUAAGAAAAAUUCCGACACCGAGCAUUGUGAAAGCACUUGUGAGAUUUUUCUCGACAUUUGGUUUGCCUAAAAUUGUGCAAAGUGACCAAGGUACACAUUUUAUGGCCAAUGUAUUUAAGCAGGUAAUGAAAACCCCUAUCGAUUACCCAUCGCACGUCUAGCGCCUAUCAUCCGGAGAGUCAAGGUGUGCUGGAAAGAUUUCACCAGACACUGAAAUCUAUGAAAAUCUAUGAAAUCUAUGCGAAAGUACUGUCUAGAGACAGGUAAUGAUUGGGACGAGGGAAUACCUUUGUUGAUGUUUGCUGUAAGAGAAAGUGUGCUGGAAUCUCUUGGAUUCAGCCCUGCUGAACUGGUAUUUGGGCACCAGGUAUGUGGUCCUUUGAAGGUUUUAAAAGACAACAUUUUGGAAAAUGAUGUCAGUGCAAAAACAAAUUUACUGAACUAUGUGACAAAAUUCCGAGAACACUUGAAUAAAGUUUGUUCGUUAGCUAAAGAAUCUCUCGCUAAUGCACAACAAGGAAUGAAACGUAACUUUGACAGAAAGGCUGUUACGCGCUCUUUUAUGCCUGGAGACUCUGUUCUCGUAUGUUUACCAGUCCCCGGAUCUUCACUUUCUGCUCGUUUCUUUGGUCCUUAUGAGGUGAAAGAGAAAAUUAACGAAACAAACUAUGUGAUCUGUACUCCUGACAGAAAAUGGAAGAUGCGUAUCUGUCAUGUGAACAUGUUGAAAUUAUAUCAUGUUAGAGUUCAACCUGAGACAAACGCUGUUAAAGCUGUCAAAUCUCCAGUUAUUUCAGUUGCAGCCAUGACAGAGAUGAUGCCUGUAACUGAUUUACGUAAAUGAUGAUCUGAAGAUGAUGGAGUAAUUUUUAGAAAUAUUCCUCAAGCUACUGUGAGAUUGACGAAUUCUGAAAUUUUAAAAGAUCUUAGCUCGUAUUUUAAAAACUUGAAUGAAAACCAGAAAAAUGAUCUUAUUCAGCUUUUUUCAGAUUUUGAAUGCUUGUUUAAGGAUGUGCCAACACUGACAAAUGUUUUGCACCAUGACAUUGAUGUUAAAGAUGCUCGACUGAUUAAACAACAUGCGUACAGAGUUAAUCAUUUGAAGCAUUUGGUAAUAGGUCAGGAAGUUGACUAUUUAUUGGAAAAUGGUCUCGCAAAAGCAAGCUGUAGUCCUUGGAGUUCACCAUGCAUUUUAGUUCCAAAACCAGGUGGUUCUUUUAGAUUCUGCACUGAUUUUAGGAAAGUGAAUGCAGUCACUGUGCCUGACAGCUAUCCACUUCCUUGAAUGGAAGAUUGUGUCAAUAACGUUGGUUUUGCACAGUUUGUAAGUAAGUUAGACAUGCUAAAAGGCUAUUGGCACUCCCGAUUCAUUUCUGCAGUACACUGCGAUGGCUUUUGGGCUCAGAAAUGCACCGGCCACGUUUCAAAGGCUUGUUAAUAUGAAUUUAACUGAUUAACUGAUGCCAAAUUGUAGUGCCUAUUUGGAUGAUUUGGUGGUUUAUUCCAAAGAUUGGAGUGAACAUAUUAAGUCACUUCGAAUGGUAUUUGAGCGCUUGGCAAAAGCCUUAUUAACACUUAAUUUAGCCAAGUGUGAAUUUGGUCAAGCGACGGUAACCUAUCUUGGAAAAGAGGUGGGGCACGGUCAAGUUCGUCCAGUUAAAGCUAAAGUGAUGGCUAUUUCAGAUUUCCCUGUUCCUAAUACUCAACGAGAACUUCAAAGAUUUUUGGGAAUGGUUGGAUACUAUCGAAGUUUUUGUAGGAAUUUUUCAUCUGUGGUUAGUCCUCUCACUUCUUUGUUAAGCCCUUCGAAAUCUUUUGUGUGGAAUGCUGAGCGUCAGUAUGCGUUCGAAAGUGUGAAAGCUUUUGUGCAAUUCACCUGUUUUCCAUGCUCCUAACUAUGAACGUUCUUUUCAGCUUGAAGUGGAUGCUAGUAAUGUUGGAGCUGGAGCUGUUCUUCUGCAGGAAGACGAAAAAGACAAGGAAGGAGUGGAAGAAUUUAGAAUGCUGAGUGGAAAGAAGCCAUAAUGAAUGACCAAACAGGGGAAGCAUGCAGUUACAAAUAUGAUAGACAGCC